rnacentral:rRNA from 1 species
AGAGUUUGAUCCUGGCUCAGAUUGAACGCUGGCGGCAUGCUUUACACAUGCAAGUCGAACGGCAGCGACGGGGCACCCUGGUGGCGAGUGGCGAACGGGUGAGUAAUGGCAUCGGGACGUAUCCUUGAGUGGGGUAAUAACGGCAGCGGAAAGUUGUGCUAAUACCGCAUAAGCUCUGAGGAGGAAAGCGGGGACCGAAAGGCCUCGCGCUGAAGGAGCGGCCGAUGUCCGAUUAGCUAGUUGGUGAGGUAAGGCUUACCAAGGCGACGAUCGGUAGCUGGUCUGAGAGGAUGAUCAGCCACACUGGGACUGAGA